AUUGAACGCUGGCGGCGUGCUUAACACAUGCAAGUCGAUCGGUAACGCGGGGGCAACCCUGGCGACGAGAGGCGGACGGGUGAGGAACGCUUGGGAAUCUGCCUAUCAGCGGGGGACAACCCGGGGAAACUCGGGCUAAUACCGCAUACGCUCUACGGAGGAAAGCCGGGGACCGCAAGGCCUGGCACUGAUAGAUGAGCCCAAGUCGGAUUAGCUAGUUGGCGGGGUAAUGGCCCACCAAGGCGACGAUCGGUAGCUGGUCUGAGAGGAUGGUCAGCCACACUGGGACUGAGAUACGGCCCAGACUCCUACGGGUGGCAG
rnacentral:rRNA from 1 species